UUUCCGUAGGUGAACCUGCGGAAGGAUCAUUACCGGGUUGGGGUCUUCUAGGCCCGACCUCCCAACCCUUUGUUUACCAAACCUAUGUUGCUGCGGCGGGCCCGUCAUUAUUGACCGCCGGAGGACGGUCUGUAUUAAGCGUCCUCUGGCCCGUGCCCGUCGAUGGCCCAACCCCUUAAAACUCUAGUCUAAAUCGUGUCGUGAUUGUCUUAGUAUAGUGAUUAAAUAAAAGAAAAACUUUCAACAACGGAUCUCUUGGUUCUG
rnacentral:misc_RNA from 1 species